rnacentral:snoRNA from 1 species
AAGCUCGAUGUUGAAUAUCUUGUCUCCUACAUCCUAAUGGGGCUGGAUGUGGAGUUUAACCCCCUAGUCUCAGUGGUGGGUACACACGUUGAGCCCAUCUCCGUGGGAGAGCUGUACUCCUACCAAAUGAACUUUGAGC